rnacentral:rRNA from 1 species
AAAACUUUUAACAACGGAUCUCUUAGUUCUAGCAUCGAUAAAGAACGUAGCCAAAUGCGAUAAGUAAUGUAAAUUAUAGAAUUUAGUAAAUCAUCGAAUCUUUAAACGCAUAUUACGCCCUUUAGUAUUCUAAAGGGCAUGCCUAUUUGAGCGUUAUU